UUGGAAAUAGCUCAAAACUAAAUCUGCCAUGACAAUGCUCUUCAAUGGAACAGGGUUUGCCUUUGGUUACAGUUAAGAUACAGGGCCUGAAAAUGCUUCCAAUAGGUUGGUGAAUGAUGGAACAAGCAAGCAAGUUCGAGCUCCUUGAGGUUUUCAGCAAGAAUUUCCAAAAUGAAGAAAUUGUGAGUUUUAGAGGAAAGAGUUUUUUCUGUUUGUGUAAGAG
rnacentral:lncRNA from 1 species